GACGAACCGUGCGAACGUUGUUCGGAAUCACUGGGCAUAAAGGGCGCGUAGGCGGCUUAUCAAGUCAGGGGUGAAAUCCGGCAGCUCAACUGUCGAAGUGCCUUUGAUACUGACGAGCUCGAGGGAGGUAGGGGUGUGUGGAACUUCCGGUGGAGCGGUGAAAUGCGUUGAUAUCGGAAGGAACGCCGGUGGCGAAAGCGACACACUGGAUCUCUUCUGACGCUGAGGCGCGAAAGCCAGGGGAGCAAACGGG
rnacentral:rRNA from 1 species